AGCACGUGUUGAAAAUCCGCCAAGGCCAGGGUGAACUCGUUUCGGAGAAGACGAGCCUCGCCCCGGCGAUACAAGGCUUUCUCGUUGCUUUCGUCAAGUUCGAUCGCCUUGGAGACAACAACGCACAGGAGAUGGUCGCUCGCUCAGUGGAAUGCCAGCUCUAUUCAAGGCCCGAAUGUCAAUGGUGACAUUCCAUACCUACCUCAAAAAGCACUGACGAGUUGGGAGGGAUUUUGUCUGAAUUUCCAGCGGGGCCGUAAGCGUACUCUGGUUUACACAGCAACGUGCACAGCUCUCCUCUUUGCAUUGAUAACACGCCAAUAUCCCAUGCUUUGAGAACUUGUCCUGUUUGUAGGCAAGGAAUAAAAGUCAACAUUUGUAGAAAGAUAGAAGAUAAAUAGGUACAUAACAAAUCAUCGAUGGCAACGACAGUCAGCAUUUGUCUCAAGUGAUUCAUUUGCAUCAAGAAAGACUUACUCUUGCCAACAUUGAAGGAAAACGACUCCUUACGAUCUCGGCUACAGUCAAACUUCUUUCCAGUGAGGAGACGUCCAGUGUAAUGGAUUGUCACUCUGUCCCCAAUCAUUGGGCAUUCUCCAUGCCCUUGCCGCUUGACAACCUGAAAGCAGCAAGACAAAGCAAAUUUAGAAAAAAAAAAGUGAUAUAGAAAAGAGCCAGAAGACAAUCUCACACAAAAAAAAAAAGAUGACAAACCUACCUUGAUUAUUCCUUGGUCUUUUGUAGGGGUUAUGUCCGUGCCCUUUGCUGCAAACGUAACAGCCAUCGAGGGCCCAUCCGUGGAACUUUCUUGAUCAGUUGUCAUGUCUGCUUGAGGGCAUUACAGUGACGCUGAAGAACAGGACAAAUCAUAAUCUUGUGUUAACGUUUCAUGAAAUGAAUCACUUUUAUCAUUAUCGAGAUGUUUUAAAAUCAUACCAGCUCUCCAUAAUCUAAAUACAAAUCUAGCGCUUUUUUUUCCCCUCUACCCUUGUCUGUGGUGUCCCGCAAGGUUCCCUUUUAGGCCCAAUUUUACCUUUUUUAUGGCCUAUAUCUUUUUUUUUUCUUUCUUUUUUUUUACUGCAUUUGCAUUCUAUUAGUAUUUCCUGGUGUAACUGAGUUUACGCAACAGAAGAAAAAAAACAAGUCGUGACAAAUAUAAAUAACUAUGCCGCUCAUCCACUCUAACCUUUGCCUGUGGUGUACCACAAGUUUCGCUUUUGGACCCAAUUAAACAUCAACCAAAUAGUCAUUAGUUAACUUUUAUAGCUAAUAAUUAGAAGCUUGGCUGCUGUCAAAGAAUGCCUUUCUGACAUCAGUCAGUUGCUGGAUCAUGAAUGACAUAAAUAUUCUCUAACGCCAUAAUGUAAAAUCUGAAAUCAUUAACAUUAUGCACAUCAUUAAACGCAGCCUUGGUUUCUUUUUAGACAAUAUCUUUAUUGAAUCUUUACAUUCACACAUUAUAUCAUUUCAAGUCUUCCAAGAUGUUUGAAACAAAUGUGCAUUUGUUCAAGUCUAUAGUUUAAGGUUCGGUGAAGGGGAGAUAAUCCAAAAAAUUAUGUUCCCAUUCUUUUUCAGACCCAUAAAAGUGUCUUAGAUGGAAAUAAGUGAAGGAAAUAAACGACUCGGGUAGGCAAAGCCCAUAAAGUUGUAGAGUUGUGAUUUUGUCACAAAUUUGUCUGCAAGACAUGCAAUUAAAGCUACACAAAAAUGGCAAAAAGGUUCUUUUGACUUUUCUUUGGCUUUUUUCCUUGCGUACCAGCAAUGGCAGGUGGCAAGUGCCAUGUAAUGAGCUCCGCACAGAAAAUCAAAAAGUCAACUCUGACAACUUAAUUGUACGAACGAAAUGUACACUGCUCGCUCACUCGGCAGAUUUGUCAUCAAACAGGGAAGUACAUAUUUACAUUGCGUACGCAAUUAACUUACUACACUUGUUGAGGAUGUUGAAAAACAAUGGCGUGUUCAGCAAGCGUCCUUACACGCUCUGAGUUUUAAAUUACACGUUAAGAUGUUGACACUUUUCAGACGCUAUUCAGUUUCAGAUUUCUUUCCAGUUGGAAAGUUAGCGCUCAUCCUUUUAAGGUCGCACUGGACUGGCUUUAAAAAGCAAGGGAACCAAAUGGCUCCUUCAGGGGUUAUACGGGGUCAAUGGAGUCAAAUAAGUUUGCAAAUUUUGAUUGUCAGGAGAGCCUGUGGGAACAUUGUGCUCGGUAAAAUGAGAUCAACCAAGUGCAGGAACAAAAUAAAAAUAGUUUUGAGAUGAAACAAGAUGGGGACGGCAUAUAUGUAUGUACUGGCUUUCUGGAGAAGGCUCACCACGUGACUAACUGAAUUGAAUUUGAUCUCCUCCAAUUCAUAUCUCUACUUGGACUCCUUUAUUCUUAAGUCUCUCCUUUACCUUAAUUUCAGAUUCUUUCAAUUAAUGAAUCAUGUCGUAAUUGUCUGUGGUUUGUUGUAAAAAAAAAAAAAAGCUCAAACUUCCUUCUACGUGCAUACUUCUGGUUACGGAAAGAACCAUUCUUAAGGUGAGGUAAGUCCCCAUGAGUCAGUGCAGUGUCCUCAAACGAUAUGUACGCGUACGUGUGAGUACGUGUGUGAACACAAUGUUCCUUCUAUUGGGUUCCCCGACGGUGUUCAGCAAUCUCCAAUGCCCCUCUUUUGAAAUCCGUUUCGUUUGAGCCAGGCUAUUAUUGCAUUUCCUUCAAUGUAUUGAUGAUGUUAGAAUGAACUAACAGUUACAUAGUAAUGUUACCUUGCAUGUAUUCAAUUGCGAUCAUCAAAAUUGAUUACAUAAAGUGGCGCAAGGACUCAAUCUUAACUCGGAGAGCCUACGCAGCAGUGCGAGAACAUCUGAGUCACAUAUGUAAAAUUCUGGGGGAGAUAGAUCAACUGAUACACCUUGUGUAUGAAUUAUAAAAGAUCAAUUAUAAGCAAUUAUCUUAAACCCCGGUGCAAAGCAUAAAGCUUUAUUAUACCCAUAGAUGACACCCCAAGAGUAGUUUUUAUUCUAUUUCCUUGACCAGUUUUGAAGAAGAAAACAAAGAUCAAAAUGUGAACAUUUAUGAUAGAGCCAAACAUAUAGUAUGAUGCUUUCAGAGGAUUUUCAUGUUAAUAGUACAAAGUCUACACGGAAAAUAUCAUACAUAAAAGCUGUCAAGAUUAUCUUCCAGACAUUUAGUACAUGAUUGGCAUGUUAUAGAAAUCUCUGUGCUUUU